rnacentral:rRNA from 1 species
UGCCUUCGGGAACUCUGAGACAGGUGCUGCAUGGCUGUCGUCAGCUCGUGUUGUGAAAUGUUGGGUUAAGUCCCGCAACGAGCGCAACCCUUAUCCUUUGUUGCCAGCGGUCCGGCCGGGAACUCAAAGGAGACUGCCGGUGAUAAACCGGAGGAAGGUGGGGAUGACGUCAAGUCAUCAUGGCCCUUACGACCAGGGCUACACACGUGCUACAAUGGCGCAUACAAAGAGAAGCGACCUCGCGAGAGCAAGCGGACCUCAUAAAGUGCGUCGUAGUCCGGAUUGGAGUCUGCAACUCGACUCCAUGAAGUCGGAAUCGCUAGUAAUCGUGGAUCAGAAUGCCACGGUGAAUACGUUCCCGGGCCUUGUACACACCGCCCGUCACACCAUGGGAGUGGGUUGCAAAAGAAGUAGGUAGCUUAACCUUCGGGAGGGCGCUUACCACUUUGUGAUUCAUGACUGGGGUGAAGUCGUAACAAGGUAACCGUAGGGGAACCUGCGGUUGGAUCACCUCCUUA